rnacentral:rRNA from 1 species
AGAACGAACGCUGGCGGCAUGCCUAAUACAUGCAAGUCGAACGAAGGCUUCGGCCUUAGUGGCGCACGGGUGCGUAACGCGUGGGAAUCUGCCCCUUGGUUCGGAAUAACAGUUGGAAACGACUGCUAAUACCGGAUGAUGACGAAAGUCCAAAGAUUUAUCGCCAAGGGAUGAGCCCGCGUAGGAUUAGCUAGUUGGUGAGGUAAAGGCUCACCAAGGCGACGAUCCUUAGCUGGUCUGAGAGGAUGAUCAGCCACACUGGGACUGAGACACGGCCCACGACUCCGUACGGGAGGCAGCAGUAGGAAGUAUGGACAAUGGGCGAAGCUGAUCCAGCAAUGCCGCGUGAGUGAGUAGAAGG